rnacentral:rRNA from 1 species
UACGUAGGGUGCAAGCGUUGUCCGGAAUUAUUGGGCGUAAAGAGCUCGUAGGCGGUCUGUCGCGUCGGCUGUGAAAACCCGGAGCUCAACUCCGGGCCUGCAGUCGAUACGGGCAGGCUAGAGUUCGGUAGGGGAGACUGGAAUUCCUGGUGUAGCGGUGAAAUGCGCAGAUAUCAGGAGGAACACCGGUGGCGAAGGCGGGUCUCUGGGCCGAUACUGACGUGAGGAGCGAAAGCGUGGGGGAGCGAACAGG